CCUACGGGAGGCAGCAGUCGGGAAUUUUGCGCAAUGGGGGAAACCCUGACGCAGCAAUACCGCGUGUGGGAUGAAGGCCUUCGGGUCGUAAACCACUUUUCUCGGGGACGAUAAUGACGGUACCCGAGGAAUAAGCCACGGCUAACUACGUGCCAGCAGCCGCGGUAAUACGUAGGUGGCAAGCGUUGUCCGGAUUUACUGGGCGUAAAGCGCGCGCAGGCGGUGAAUGAAGUCGAAAGUGAAAGCCCCGGGCUCAACUCGGGAACAGCUUUCGAAACCAGUUCACUUGAAGGUGGAAGAGGGAAGUGGAAUUCCGAGUGUAGCGGUGGAAUGCGCAGAUAUUCGGAGGAACACCAGAGGCGAAGGCGACUUCCUGGUCCAAUCUUGACGCUGAGGCGCGAAAGCUAGGGGAGCAAACAGGAUUAGAUAUCCUGGUAGUCCUAGCUGUAAACGAUGGAUACUAGGUGUUGGAGGUUUUAACCCCUCCGGUGCCGCACGCUACGACAUUAAGUACUCCGUCCGUCGGGUAGGUACGGCCGCGACGGACGUAAACUACAAUAGUAAGUUAGACGGCGUGAGACGUCGCCGACGGACGACGACGAGGGAGUAGG
rnacentral:rRNA from 1 species